UACGGAGGGGGCUAGCGUUGUUCGGAAUUACUGGGCGUAAAGCGCACGUAGGCGGCUUUGUAAGUUAGAGGUGAAAGCCCGGGGCUCAACUCCGGAAUUGCCUUUAAGACUGCAUCGCUAGAAUUGUGGAGAGGUAAGUGGAAUUCCGAGUGUAGAGGUGAAAUUCGUAGAUAUUCGGAAGAACACCAGUGGCGAAGGCGACUUACUGGACAAGUAUUGACGCUGAGGUGCGAAAGCGUGGGGAGCAAACAGG
rnacentral:rRNA from 1 species